GGGAGCUGUAGACCGGAGCUGUUCCUAUUCGGCCAUCUUGGCUCCUCCCCCACCCCCGUAUUAUCUUAAAAAUUAGAUUGUUUUCUGCUGGUUGCUUUCUGAAAUUCUACUGGACCUAAUGCCAUUGGAAAUGGAUGGGGAGAAGGCCUGAUGAAAAUUACUGAGGAAGCCUCUUAGCCUAUGUGCUCUGAGAGUAGUGACACCUAGCAGUCGUUCAAAAGAUGAUCAAGAGGAGCAUGAAAAAAUCCCCUGAAUCCAUUGGCUUUCUUCCCUAUACUGACAACAGUUUACUUGUGUAAGAGAUGCAUGCCUCGACUCCGGACCCCUUCUUUCAUCUGCAAAAUCAGCAGCACCCUCACAUCAUCUCCUGUAACAAACUCUCUCUGUCUCCUCCAUAUAAGGUCACUGAUGGUUACAUUUAGGGUCCAUGAUAUAAGGCCCUCUCCAGGGUGCCUGAGUUUGUUGUUUCAUCACAGAAUUACACGGAAGAGACUGGAAAGAUAACUCUUCAAAUGUCAAAUCAUUCCCCUAUAAAAAAUUUUGCCACAGCUGUUGAAAUAUGGCCUUAGGGUUUAUGACAGAAUUUGAACCAGCCCCAUGGAAAAUGCAUCUUGACUCUGCUUUUAUUCCUUUCCCUGCUGAGCUCCUAAUAGAAGAUGGAUGUCUAUUGCUUUUCUCUUGAUAUUCAUGGCACUGCUCCUCUCCAUCCAUAGGAUUAUCUUAUAGAUGAGGGUCUCAUCCUUUUGCCCAGGCUGGAGUACAG
rnacentral:lncRNA from 1 species